rnacentral:rRNA from 1 species
GAUAAACGCUGGCGGCGUGCAUGAGACAUGCAAGUCGAACGGGUGACUCGGGCUUGCUCGAGUCGCUAGUGGCGGACGGCUGAGUAACGCGUAGGUGACCUGUCCCGAAGUGGGGAAUAACUGCCCGAAAGGGUGGCUAAUACCGCAUGUGUCCACAUGUUCGAUCAUGUGAGUAAAGCCGCAAGGCGCUUCGGGAGGGGCCUGCGUCCGAUUAGCUCGNGGUGGGGUAACGGCUCACCAAGGCGACGAUCGGUAGGUGGUCUGAGAGGACGAUCACCCAGACUGGGACUGAGACACGGCCCAGACUCCUACGGGAGGCAGCAGUCGGGAAUUUUGCUCAAUGGGCGCAAGCCUGAAGCAG